CGCGGGUGCCGCGUCCUUGCCAGGGGCAUCCUGGUAAGCAGGCGGGUGCCGCGGUGCUUCGUUAUGUAGGCAGGCGGGUGCCGCGGUGCUUCGUUAUGUAGGCAGGCGGGUGCCUUGGUGCUUCCUUACGUAGGUACGCGGGUGCCGCGGUGGUUCCUUACGUAGGAAGAUACAGCUUGAGGAGCCAGAUGCAGCGGCUCACUCCUGUAAUCCCAGCGUUUUGGGAGGCCGAGUUCAAGUGAAGAUACAAGCACGCCUCUUGGUUCAGGAUGCCCACAUGACCUAUGUGUGGUCAACCUCUGUGUCCAGCUUCUGAGACGGACGCUCCCUGGGAGACCUGGAAGGAUGUGAUCAAACACAUGCAAACUACAGGGGCUGAAAGUGAGAAAAGGUGGUUUUCAGAGGAAAAUCUUCAGUGUUAACAGACAAAGAGGGAGUGAUGGAUGAACAGGUAAAACCAGCAGCUGUCCGGUGUACUGUGACUUAUAACUUUUACCUGGGCUGAUAAAUAAAUAAUGGCUGGAGUCAUUAUGAGUGACAGCAUUCUUGUUCUGCAGACACUAUAAAUCUGGAUAAAAUAAGCAAUUCUCUGCUGAGAUGAUAGAAGAAUCUAUCUUCCCUCACUUCGCCAACACAGUGAGAAUAGUGGACUCUGAAUUCUUGAUUUUUCUGGCUGCAUCGUGAAGAGUAUUUCCUGAAACCGUCAAUGAGGAUGUACAGAAACAGUAGGAAAAUGUGGGCUAGGGAAAUCAACGUAGGAUGGUCCUCUUCAUCCCAGAUAUGAUCAGUGUUCCUGCUGUGAGAAGUGUCUUCUUCACUAACCUUUUAAAAUACGUUCUUCUUAAUAUUAUAGAUGAUUGAAAUUUUUAAUGUUUUUUAUUAUUUAACUCACAAAAAAUGUGAAUAUAAUCUCUGGAGGAGAGGGAAUUGGCCAAAUAUUAUACUAAGAAGUGUGGCUAAUUUAUUCUGUAACUUGGCCAUGAACAAUAUAUGGGAAUAAAUGAAUAACUCAAAUAGAAGACUUUCUUUUGGUCCGGGAAAACAGAAGGAAUUUGAGUAUUAAUCUUCGGUCUGCUGCCAGUCUGCUGCAUCAGGAACUAUUUUUGAUACAUGAGAAUGAUGGAAAAAUUGAGAGUUCUCUUGACUUUACCCCCAGUUCCUAUAAAAAAGACAAUUAAACCACAAAAAGCUAUUUAAGAAAA